rnacentral:misc_RNA from 1 species
GCGAAGAGAAGUAGUUGCAAUGGAGAAGGAACUUGCUGCUAUGCGUGUAAGCAGCAGGGAGAGCGAUCAAAGGCCACGACGCCAGAGUGCACCUAGGGGGGCUGUAGUUGGUUCUCAGUCACUUCCUGUCAGGAAUAUCCGAAACAGAUAGGGCGUCGACAUGGGAUUAAGCAUUGAUGAAAUGACAUUUUCUUAUCGGCUCUAUUGUCAAUAUAA